rnacentral:tRNA from 1 species
AAGGAUUUAAGUUAAAUAAACUAUUAACCUUCAAAGUUAAAAAUAAACUUUAGUUUAAGCCUUA